rnacentral:rRNA from 1 species
AUACGGAGGAUCCGAGCGUUAUCCGGAUUUAUUGGGUUUAAAGGGUGCUCAGGCGGGCGAUUAAGUCGGCGGUGAAAUUUUGCGGCUCAACCGUAAAAGUGCCUUCGAAACUGGUUGCCUUGAGUGUGGAUGAGGUAGGCGGAAUUUGUGGUGUAGCGGUGAAAUGCAUAGAUAUCACGAGGAACUCCGAUUGCGCAGGCAGCUUACUAAGCCAUAACUGACGCUCAAGCACGAAGGCGUGGGGAUCAAACAGGAUUAGAUACCCUGGUAGUCCACGCAGUAAACGAUGAUUACUGGCUGUUUGCGAUAUAAUGUAAGCGGCUGAGCGAAAGCGUUAAGUAAUCCACCUGGGGAGUACGUUCGCAAGAAUGAA